AUUGAACGCUGGCGGCAGGCCUAACACAUGCAAGUCGUGCGAGCGGCGGACGGGUGAGUAAUGUAUGGGGAUCUGCCUGAUGGCGGGGGAUAACUACUGGAAACGGUAGCUAAUACCGCAUACCAUCAGAUGAACCCAUAUGGGAUUAGCUAGUAGGUGAGGUAACGGCUCACCUAGGCGACGAUCCCUAGCUGGUCUGAGAGGAUGAUCGACCAAACUGGGACUGAGAAACGGCCCGGACUCCUACGGGAGGCAGCAGUGGGGAAUAUUGCACAAUGGGCGCAAGCCUGAUGCAGCCAUGCCGCGUGUAUGAAGAAGGCCUUCGGGUUGUAAAGUACUUUCAGCAGGGAGGCGUUACCCGCAGAAGAAGCACCGGCUAACUCCGUGCCAGCAGCCGCGGUAAUAC
rnacentral:rRNA from 1 species